UCACGUUAAUUUUUUACUUUUUUUUUAAAUAGAAUUUUUUACCAUUAAUUCAAUGGAAUUUGUUAGAAAUUGAAAGGUCAUGAUACCUUCAUUAUUUGAAAUGACUAAUUUAUCCUUCGUUUCCUUCAAGAGCUCGAAAACUUCUAAACGCUCAACGCUCAAGCCAACACAGACGGCUAGGAUGUCCUCAAUUAAUUUGAGAGGAAAAUUACAGGUUAAUUAUGCAUGAUUUGAUUAAGGAGCAAAGGAACAUUAAAAAAGUGUAAUUAACAUUGCCAACGAACGUGCCCAACAUUAAUUUAUUAGUUAUUUCAAAUAAAGCAUCCACUUGGCAUACUAUAAUUGGUUGUUUGCUACAGCAGCCACUACAGACCUCAUUAAGCGCCAGAAUCUAACUCAGCGGCAGGGCGCGAACCAUCACCGCCCUUGGCAGCGCUCGAGGCUCUUUCUCUCAGCCAUUCCACCAUCUCUCCGAAAACCAACUCAACAUUCUCCUCAGGCUCGCCAAUCAGCUGAUGCCACAUGCCUGGAUAAAUGCUCAGCGUCUUAUCCUUACUCGCUGCACGUUUAUACAACUCCUCAACGCAGGCGGGAUCGCAAACGACGUCGUCUCCGCCGUGGCAUAUCAGCAUCGGCACCUCGACUUCCUCGAACCUCCCUUGCAAAUCCCUCGAUACGCGCAGCAACUCCAGCGCGGUCGCCGCACGCGGCCUCGCCACCGGCCUCCUCGGGCUCGACAGCGCCAGCUUCCUCUUCCACUCCUCCUUGAACGAGACCAUCGGGAGCGAACCGCGGGUGGGAACCACGCGCCAGGUAGGCACCAGCCACGCGACUGUGAAAAGAAGGUGCUCCAAGGGCCACGGCGGCUUGAAUUUCUGGCUAAUCCCGCACAUGGCCCCAUUCAAAAUCAAACCAUCCCACGCGCCCUUCUGACGGAGCGUGAUGUAAAGAGCAAUGGCCCCACCUAAGGACUCGGAGUACAAAAACGCGGGCAAAUCCGGCGCGUGUCUCGCACGGAAUGAAUCGAAGAAGGAAAUCGCGUCUUCGACGACGGGGUUGAGGUCGGGAAUGUGAGCGACAAGUCCAUCAGAGAAGCCGUGGCCCUGGUGAUCGAUAGCGCACGUGGCGAAGCCCGAUUUGGCGAAGAGGACGGCGGUGAGCUGGACAAUCCAGCUGGUCUCGCCGGUGAAGCCGUGGACGACGCAGAGGACGCCGAGGGUUUUGGCGGGAGGGAGUGGGGUCCACCACUGGGUGAAGAGCCUGAGGCCGCGCGAGUUGGUGAUGUACUCGGAGGAGUGACUCACUGAGUGGCGGGCGUAGAACUCGUCCGGAGUCAAUGAGCCGAAUAGGCUCUGCUCGUUGGCUUCGGCAACCGGGUGUAUGGGCAUUUUUGAAAUUUGAUUUUUGCCUUUGAGAACUGAGAAGACAAGCUUUCAGUUUCAGUUAGUAGGUUAGUUUCUGUUGAGCGACCGGUUUCAGUACUCAAUUGGUCUAGGCAGGCAGGAUUCUGAUGUUUCUGGGAUUGCGUUCUCUAUGGUGCGGCAUUAUAUGGGUAAUGGGUGGCCAAUUAAUGUAAUUCUUUUUUCCCUUUUUUUUCAUUAAAAUAUAUAAUGGCUUGGGUAAAACUUAAAUUGAUUUUGAAUUCUAAUGAUGAGUUAAAACAAAAAAUGUUUUUAAAAUUAUUUGGUAAUACACUAAUUAGUCUCUAUUUCAACUCGAAUAAUUUACUUAAAAAGUUAAUUAAAAAUUAAUCGUUUUCUUUUUCGCUUUCUUUUUCGUUUUCAUGUUAAUGUAACACUAAAUGCUCAAUAAAUGCAGUGCCAUUAUUUUCUGGUAAGAACUAAGAAGAAACCAAAGAAUAGAGUGGGGGUGGAACCCAUCAUGUAGCGAGCUGCUCGGUCAUGUAUGAGUGAAUCAGUGAAUAGAGAUGUCCUUGAAAAUAAAUAAGGAGGUUGGGGGAUAAAGGAGGUCGUUGGCAUAGUCGAUCAGUACCAACCAGCGAAUUGGUAGAAUUGGAUAUUUUCUGCUUUCCCCCCACCAAAUUGGUUUCCAAAUUAAUCUAGCUGUGCAUUGUAUUGUCCAAUAAGUACCAAACACAUACGUACUGUAGAAUCUCUUAUUAUCUGUGACUAUCAUAUAUGAACAUAUGAUUCAAAUUAAAACAAGAAGACUCACGGAUAAAGCUAACUCAAUCAACCAUAUCUUUGAGAUGUAGUCAUUCCCGCAAGGGCACGUCAUACUUUUUAUUAGUAUUUGCUGUGGGGCAUAGGAAUUGGUUGAGCAUGUUAUUCCAUUUUCAAGAGUCAAAACCACUAUCCACAUUCGGAUGCAAGCCCAACCCAAAAUGAGCCCAAACGCAUAAGAAAUACAAAGAGUGGGCAAACUUAUACAAUAAGGAUCUAUUGCCAAAAAAGCUGAUGAAGAAAAUAGCCAUCAGGAUAUAUAUCGCAGAGAUAUGAAAUACUACGAAUGGUUUUCUCUUACCUAUUAGAUCAAAUACAUACUGUGUACAUUGGAAACUAAAGCAAAUCAGUCUAACAAACACACCACUAGCUGGAACUAUUACUUUAGCUAGCACAUUUCUUCUCUCACUUUCUUCUUCUCAACACUUAAACCUUAAGGCUUUGAUAUUCCUUCGAUAUGUACAAUCUUGUCAUGUGUACACAUUGUUGUACUGAUCACACGCCCCAACAGACACUGCCUCAGUUCUCUUCAUGAUCAAUGCAAGCUGAAAGGAUAAAGUAUAUCGUAUCAGAUGACAAAAUCCACCACUAGUCAUUUUAAUGCUUUCUGUAUGAUUGUUCACACUCGAUGGUAGCAUGGCUUGGGUUCAGUGUUAAGAAAGAAAGAAUGUGCAUGUAUACAAAUUGAAAGUCAUGUAAUCCAGAAGAAAUUUGCUUGAUGUUAAUAUGAGCACAUGAAUGGUAUUCAUCACAAACCUAACCAAAAUAUCAGAACUUUACUCAGAACACCAUUUAAGAACUUCAUGACAUCAUCUUCAAUUAACAACAGAGCAUAAACAUACCUAAAUUCUCAAUUAAUGGGACUAGAGCUGACAAAAUUUGACACGACCCGAUUACCCGACACGAACACGACACAAAUUUGACACGAUUAUUAAAUGGUUGGGUCCAAGUCGACACAAUUUUUUUUCAUGCCGGGCUAGGGUUAAAGUUCUUGACCCAUUCACCCGACCAAUGACACGAUUAUAUUUUCUAUUUUAAAUUAAUUUCUAGGUUCUUGUCAUUAAAACUCAAAUAUUGGACAUGAUUCUUUCUUCUUCUUUCUGCUGUACGGCCAAGGAAAGAAAUUCUUAGUGUGCCUUCUAGCAAUCCAAAAAGACCAUCCAUUUUUUUUUUCUUUUUGUUUGGUUCAUCUAUUGAAAAUGAAGGCUAUGAAGCAAUAGAAAUGUGAAUGAGAUCUCCUGUUUUUAUGUUUCCUUGAAAAUUGGAGAUCUAAUUGACUUGUUCUAACUUGUUACUUGUUACACAUACGUUGAAGAUGUGACCAGAGUUAUUCCUAUAUUUCAUUUAAAUACUAAUGCAUAUUAGCGUAUAUGCAAAGAUAACAAGGAAUUGACAAUUUUAGAGAACUCACGUUAAUUUUUUACUUUUUUUUUAAAUAGAAUUUUUUACCAUUAAUUCAAUGGAAUUUGUUAGAAAUUGAAAGGUCAUGAUACCUUCAUUAUUUGAAAUGACUAAUUUAUCCUUCGUUUCCUUCAAGAGCUCGAAAACUUCUAAACGCUCAACGCUCAAGCCAACACAGACGGCUAGGAUGUCCUCAAUUAAUUUGAGAGGAAAAUUACAGGUUAAUUAUGCAUGAUUUGAUUAAGGAGCAAAGGAACAUUAAAAAAGUGUAAUUAACAUUGCCAACGAACGUGCCCAACAUUAAUUUAUUAGUUAUUUCAAAUAAAGCAUCCACUUGGCAUACUAUAAUUGGUUGUUUGCUACAGCAGCCACUACAGACCUCAUUAAGCGCCAGAAUCUAACUCAGCGGCAGGGCGCGAACCAUCACCGCCCUUGGCAG
rnacentral:lncRNA from 1 species